AAAAAUUGUAGAAGAAGAAACAAUUGAAAGGAAAAGAAAAAUUGCAGAAGUAAGAAUAUGGAAAGAAAUGACAAACCUGAAAUAUUUGAAAAAAAAAAUGGUGAACUUCAUGGAUUUUUUUUUAUUUUGUUGGACACACCGUAAAUAUUUAAAUGUUGUGUUAUAUUUACGAAAAUGUUUCAAAUUAAAGAUUGGAGGACCG
rnacentral:lncRNA from 1 species